rnacentral:rRNA from 1 species
UACAGAGGUCUCAAGCGUUGUUCGGAUUCAUUGGGCGUAAAGGGUGCGUAGGUGGCGCCGUAAGUCGGGGUGUGAAAUUUCGGAGCUUAACUCCGAAACUGCAUCCGUAUACUGCUGGUGGCUUGAGGACUGGAGAGGAGACUGGAAUUCAUGGUGUAGCAGUGAAAUGCGUAGAGAUCAUGAGGAAGACCAGUGGCGAAGGCGGGUCUCUGGGACAGUUCCUGACACUGAGGCACGAAGGCCAGGGGAGCAAACGGG